GAUGAAGAACGAGCAAAAUGCGAUAAGUAAUGUGAAUUGCAGAAUUCAGUGAAUCAUCGAAUCUUUGAACGCACAUUGCGCCCGCCAGUAUUCUGGCGGGCAUGCCUGUUCGAGCGUCAUUUCAACCCUCAAGCACAGCUUGGUGUUGGGACUCGCGUUAAUUCGCGUUCCCCAAAUUGAUUGGCGGUCACGUCGAGCUUCCAUAGCGUAGUAGUAAAACCCUCGUUACUGGUAAUCGUCGCGGCCACGCCGUUAAACCCCAACUUCUGAAUGUUGACCUCGGAUCAGGUAGGAAUACCCGCUGAACUUAAGCAUAUCAAUAAGCGGAGGA
rnacentral:misc_RNA from 1 species